rnacentral:misc_RNA from 1 species
GCAUCAUAUAAGGAAACUCCAAAAAAUAUUCAAGAGGAAAAACCAAAUCUGCCAAUUGAAUUUGCAAUGAAGGAGGAGAUAGUUGCUGGUUUCCGAUGAAUCUCCACGUAAAAAAAGUACCUAGCGCCAAGUGAGUAAGCUCAUCUUGAUGCUUCUUGGGUUAGACAAGCCCUCUCCUGCUAACCGCCAAAGCAAGCUGCUUUGGGUGCCUUUGUUU